CAGCAGACAGCAGGCACAAAUCACACCAACUUGCUUCAAAUUCGAGACUAAGGACUACUAGUUGCAGGAAUGUUACUGCUCUUCUCAUGACAAACCAGCAUUGUGUAGAUUAUAAACAGAUGUAAGGAAAACGACGACGACUACUACUAACACAAGAUGAAGAUUAUCCUCUCAUCCUGUGUGGGUUGUACUCGAGUAUACUACUAGGACUCCCCUGUGGAAUGCGGUGGCAGAGGCUUCAGUCCUCUGUGUCCUUCGCCUCGGCUGCGACCUCCUGUGUGGCCGCCACCGCCGUAGUGUCUUCUGCAGUGUGCUCGGUCCCGAUCUCCUCCGCAGCGCCGGCGUCUGCUGCCACCACUAGGGUCUACUGGCGGAUGGUGCAGCUGGCGUGGAGGAAGCUCUCUGAACAGCAACGGAGGGCGUCGACGACAACCCUCAACGUGGCGUAGGGGCCGUAGAGCGGGUGAGCGUUCGCCUGGGCCACGAACACCUCCAUCAUCUUCGCCAAGGCCCUCGCUUGCGUGCUGAAGGAGCCACCUGCCACCACCGCGUCUGCCGCAGAAGCCUCGGACACGCCUAGACGAGGUGGAUGUGUGCCACCCUGGUCGGCUCACGGUGGAGCUCUGGGAUGACGUAAUCCUUGAAGAGCGCGACGACGUGAGAUGCUCGAUCCCCACGCUCUUGAGCGCGCAUCUGUUGCGGACCUCACCACCAAGUGCGACGCCCGCCUGGACCUGGAGCGACAGGAGCGCCAGGAAGGCCCCGGCCUCGCCCACCGUGACGAUGCUCGCUACGAACUCCUGGAGCGGUGGCUGGUGCUGCUUGGCGCGCUCGACGAAGACGGCCACACCUUCGGGUAGUCGGCCAGCUGGAGGGGCCCGGCGGCCGCCAUUUCCUCCUCUCUCGCGCGCUUAGGCCUGGUUCAGUUGUCAAUUUUUUUGGAUUUCGGGUACUGUAGCACUUUCGUUUGUAUUUGACAAAUAUUGUCUAAUCAUAAACUAAGUAGACUUAAAAAAAUUCGUCUCAUAAAUUGCAAGUAAACUUUAUAAUUUGUUUAUGUUUUCGUCUACACCUCUCUCCUGCGUGGGCUUAGAAAACGAAAGCUAAGGCCUUGUUUAGUUUCAAAUUUUUUUGAAAUGGGUAUCGUAGCACUUUCGUUUGUAUGUGACAACUAUUAUCCAAUUAUAGACUAACUAGGUUUAAAAGAUUCAUCUCGCAAAUUACAAGCAAACUAUAUAAUUAGUUUUUAUUUUUGUCUAUAUUUAAUGCUCCAGGCAUGUGUCU
rnacentral:lncRNA from 1 species